CGGCGGGGCACUGCUGCAGCCCCUGCCGGCAGAAGCAGAGCUGCCAGGGUUGGCUCAUUUGUAUCACUGGGGGAAAGCUGGCAUCAGGGACACUUUUAUUCUAUGUUGAAGGAGCAGCAGACCUUUGAGCUGCAGGUAAAGGUAUUUGUCUGAAAACUCCACUCUAAGAAAUAACAAUGAAAAUGGACCUUCUGGCAUCUGGGUGGUCAACAGAGACAGUGGAGCACUAUUCUGGCCAGAACUACCUCCUGUAUGAACACCAUGUGGCAACAUGACUAGUUCUGCUGCAACAUUCCCCAUGGCAAGGAAUAGUGCAUGCAUGAACACAACUGCACGUAUGGGAAGCUUCUCCAGGAGGUGCGAUAAGCUAUCAUCACGGUCAAUGAACAUCUGCUUAAACAGAAAGCAAGAAAUGACUGAGCAGAUGAAUGGAAGACAAGAACAUGACUUUUUACUUUGCAGGAAGUUCUCCCAUUUGAAAAAAAAAUAUUCAAAGUAAAGAUUAAAAAAAUAAAAUCCAAUCAAAUUUUCUGCA